AUAGGCCCCUCAGUCUCAGUCUCUUUUCUCCAAUGACGACUGCGAAGCUCUUCAUCUUCUCCAUAUUCUUUGCCUUACUGUUCGUUAUGAUUGCAUCACAGAAAUCAUCCCUGGAGCCAGAGGAUACAAUUUCAUCUCUGAGGAUUGAAUUAGAGCAACUCAAGACGAAGGUUUCAAUUUUAGAGUCCACAUUUGAGAAGAGCGAUAGUAAAUUGAAUAAAGACGAUGGCAUUAAACAGAUGGAGAAUAUUAUUCCAGAGAAAUCACAAAGUGCAACCCUACGGAAUAAGAUUGUAGCUCUUCAGCAAAAAGGGUCUUUAGAUGCUUACCAGGAGCUGGAAGGAUCAAAUUCCCACGUAGCUGAGGCGGAGAAGCUGCUUCAGAAAGUUAAUAAUGUACGAAUUCAAAUGACUGAAGAAGCUCUUCAAGUGACAGAGGAAGAAAUGAUGAAGGAAGAAUCGGAAGCCACUUUUAUGAAGUCCCUGAAGUCCUUAAUAGCGGACCACUGGAAUUAUUCUUGGAGGCCUGCCUUGGACGCAUUGUUUCCAAAGAUAUUUUUGAAAUUGUCACAGGUUCGACAAGUUGGGGAGAUGUGUAUCGAAAUGUUGAAGAAAGAGGGGGUACCAGUUAUGAAGGAUCAAUGGUUGUCAUUCAUUUCUUCUCUCGGUUCUCAUUUCAAACCUUUAACUGCAAAAAUUAUUGAGGCCUAUCAUGUGACCAAGAACUCUUUGCUAUCAAAUACGGCCAAUAUACAGACAACAUUUUCUCCUUUCAUACAGGAGUUACCAGUUAUGAAGGAUCAAUGGUUGACUUUCAUAUCUUCUCUCUCUUCAUGUUUGGAAUCCUUAACUGCUAAAAUCAUGGAGGCCUGUCGUUUGACCAAGAACUCUUUACUAUCAUAUACAGUCAAGAUACAAACAGCUACUGCUCCCUUCAUACAGGAAGUAUACAAGUUUGCUAAGCCCUACAUCAAUCAGUUUGAAACAGUGAGGAAGCCGUACACUGAUAUGGACGUGGUUAUCUUGCAGCCCCAUUCAGGAAAACCAGCGCGGGCAUGCAGGAUGUUGGUCACAUCUAUAAUUUCAUACCAUAACCAGGUACAACAAUGGCUGAAAACUAGCAAAUAACAAGAUCAGUUGCUUCUAUAGAGCUUGCUUGGCUUGCUGCCUCUGCUUUACUGUGCUUGCCUGUUGUAUGCCUGUGUAGAUUUUAUUCAGCUAUUUUUAGGAAAAAAGUAAGGAAGCUUGGGCGCGUUUCUCAUUCAAAGAACAUCCACCGCAAAUUAAAAAGACCUCUUGAUAUUAAAGCCAUGAGAUCGCUUAAGCCCUUCUGGCCUCUGGGUAAUCAGUCCAAGCAUUCCUAGUUUUGAUUUUUGGAAAUUGUGAGUUCCUAUUCCAAAUCUCUGAUCCAGUUUUUUCGGCCUUGAAAAGAAGCUAUGGCCCCUUUUGUAGCUCAUCCUCUUGACUGUAAUAUGCAUAUGAAAACAGUGGAUAAACUGAGUUUCAUGCGAGUAUUAAAUACAUGAAUAGAUUCCAGUUGUGUAUUGCAUUUCUACUAAGGAAAUAUUUUUCUUUCUUGGGCAUCUAGGUUGGUGGAUCAUUGGUCAUGGUUUGUAUAAAUAUGAGUGCUCUUUGACUUGAACUUCUAAAUGACAGCCAAGUUUAA